rnacentral:rRNA from 1 species
AGGAUGAACGCUGGCGGCGUGCCUAACACAUGCAAGUCGAACGAGAAAGUGGAGCAAUCCAUGAGUAAAGUGGCGCACGGGUGAGUAACACGUGACUAACCUACCCUUGAGUGGGGGAUAACCUAGAGAAAUCUGGGCUAAUACCGCAUAAUACCUUCGGGUCAAAGGAGCAAUUCGCUUAAGGAGGGGGUCGCGGCCGAUUAGUUAGUUGGCGGGGUAAUGGCCCACCAAGACUGUGAUCGGUAUCCGGCCUGAGAGGGCGCACGGACACACUGGAACUGAAACACGGUCCAGACUCCUACGGGAGGCAGCAGUGGGGAAUUUUGCGCAAUGGGGGAAACCCUGACGCAGCAACGCCGCGUGGAGGAUGAAGCCCCUUGGGGCGUAAACUCCUUUCGAUCGGGAAGAUAAUGACGGUACCGAGAGAAGAAGCCCCGGCUAACUUCGCGCCAGCAGCCGC